GAUGAACGCUGGCGGCGUGCUUAAUACAUGCAAGUCGAACGGAGAUUGUAGCAAUACGGUCUUAGUGGCGAACGGGUGAGUAACGCGUUAGUGACCUGCCCCGAAGAGGGGGAUAACAGUCCGAAAGGAUUGCUAAUACCCCAUACCUUUACUGGGUUUAGAAACCGGUAAAGAAAGGAGAAAUUCGCUUUGGGAGGGGCUUGCGUCCCAUCAGCUAGUUGGUAGGGUAAUGGCCUACCAAGGCUAUGACGGGUAGGGGACCUGAGAGGGUGGACCCCCACAAUGGAACUGAUACACGGUCCAUACACCUACGGGUGGGCAGCAGUAGGGAAUAUUGGUUAAUCGACGAAAGUCGGAACCAAGCAACGCCGCGUGU
rnacentral:rRNA from 1 species